UGGGGAAUAUUGGACAAUGGGCGAAAGCCUGAUCCAGCGACGCCGCGUGAGUGAUGAAGGCCUUCGGGUUGUAAAGCUCUGUUGAGGGAGAAGAAAACAGUUAGGGCGAAUAGGCCUAGCUCUUGACGGUAUCCCUUUAGAAAGCACCGGCUAACUCUGUGCCAGCAGCCGCGGUAAUACGAAGGGGGCUAGCGUUGUUCGGAAUUACUGGGCGUAAAGCGCACGUAGGCGGACUAUUAAGUCAGGGGUGAAAUCCCGGGGCUCAACCCCGGAACUGCCUUUGAUACUGGUAGUCUCGAGUCCGGAAGAGGUGAGUGGAAUUCCGAGUGUAGAGGUGAAAUUCGUAGAUAUUCGGAGGAACACCAGUGGCGAAGGCGGCACACUGGUCCGGUACUGACGCUGAGGUGCGAAAGCGUGGGGAGCAAA
rnacentral:rRNA from 1 species